GGGAGCAUAGCUCAGCUGGGAGAGCAUCUGCCUUACAAGCAGGGGGUCACAGGUUCGAGCCCUGUUGCUCCCACCA
rnacentral:tRNA from 4 species